ensembl:lncRNA MIR9-2HG MIR9-2 host gene
CCAUUUGCCAGGGCCUCGCUCGAGCCGGCGCCUCGGUUCCUGCCCAGCUGGAUUUGGGGGGCAGCAUUGCCUGGCGCAGGGAGAUCAAAUGAGACUGCAAAGAAGCAUAAAAUGAAUAGACAAUCCAACCAACCAAAGACCGGGGGCAGCAGCAGGCCAGCAAGACGGCAUCUUCUCCUUCCCAGCCUAGAAGCCCUGUGAAAUCGAGGAUCUUCCCCCUAAAACACAUACACACAAGAUAUGUGCAAUCAAGCUGCCACCGCUUGGUAAAAAGCCAUGGUGCCUAACCAAAAAGGAUCAGGAACAGAUCCUUGAAUCAGCUGUCACUUCUAUAGAAUGGGAUUUUUUUUUCCUUCCUCCUUAACCUGCGCUGGAAAUUGCCGUUGGCUUUAUACAUCUCUAUAGAGAGAGGCUAAAGAGUCUUGCGUGAGAAAGAAGCAAUUUACAAUGCAAAUAGAGGCCUGUGAAGGGACGGAUGCUGCUGCUCACUCGUAACAGCUUGCUGCACCUUAAUAGCUGGUUUUAUUUUCUGAUAUUAAUAGAUGAAUUGUUGGCUAACGCUGCCGGAGAUUACUUGCUGAAAGGAAAAAGAAAAGUUCGGAAUAAACUCUGAAGGCAACAGAUCUCGUUUGGAUGUUUUAGCCGCGCACACACACAAACAGAAACCAGGUCAUAUUUACAUAAAAGGAGGAAUCUUAAGCGCGGCAAGUAUCCUGGACGACCACUCUUCGGUACUGCCAGAAAGGAUCAGGACCUGGAGUCUGGCAAGAGGAAGACAGAGGCCUGUGUGGGAAGCGAGUUGUUAUCUUUGGUUAUCUAGCUGUAUGAGUGUAUUGGUCUUCAUAAAGCUAGAUAACCGAAAGUAAAAACUCCUUCAAGAUCGCCGGGGAGCGUGUGAGAAUGAAAGACUACAGCCGAGAGACAGUAAAAACCAGAAAGGAAAUUGCUUUGGAGAUGAGGAAACAAACUCUUAUGGAGACCUAAGAGACUGAAGACAUCUGGCGUGGACUACUCUGAUGGUAAAAUUGAAAGUACACCUAAAUUUGCUUUGUUACAGGAUUCUCUUCAGAGGACAAGAGAAGAUGUUACAUUCUCUGCAUGAGGACAAUUCUGCAGCAUCAAAAUCGAAUAAUAUUUGUUUUCUGGCAGCAGAAUUUUGUAUCAUAUUUCUAAAGACAGUAAGCACUUGGGUGGACGUCAAUGAAUACUAAACACUAAUUGAUCUGAUACAGCCGUAUGCACAUACACAGAUAUACAUGGUGGCUUGUAAUGGUUGAAAAAUUACGGUUUGGUUUUAUUAAAAGAUCUGUCACUUUUAGGUCAGAGUGGGAUUUUGGAGGGAUAGUCUCCCACAAUAGAAAACUACCCUGACAACAGUGGUGUUUUGAGGUUGUUUGUUGUUUGGCUUCUUGAUGAUGCUUAGCUAAGGAGACACUUCCUUUCAGAUUCUGUCUUCCAAACCCCAGGGCUCUGUUCUGGGCAGUUCAGCCUAAUGGAAUUAAGCCUGACAUGUUUCAACUCUAUUUCUUGAUAAAAUAAACAUAAAACAAUGGUUUAGAUUUCGAAUAAAACUCUUGAAGCAUGGGGUACUCUAACUUUCCCUGUUCUUUACACAUCUGUAAAUAAAGUGCAUAAAAGAGGAACACAACAGGAUAAAUCAACAUAAAUUUGAAAUCCACUGCAGCAUAUUAAAUGGCGCAGUCUCAGUCAAAGAGAGGCUGACCCCGCGGCUUCGUGCAGUUUGAAGCUAAUUGUUUUCGUCAGGAUGGGAACGUCUGGAAGUCCAUGGCUGUAUCCCACCAGUAAGGCUCCAGUAACUGAGCCGGCCCACAGAGAAUGGGCCCACUUUGUAGCGACACAGCGGGCUCAGACACCACCUAUUCUGCUCUCCAAACUGUCAUGCAUAACAACUUUAUUGUGCUAAAUUGAACUUGAAAGCAACCAAAGGCUAUGAGAAGGAGAGGCUAUGAGAAAAGCGUGCUGUCAGCGCCGGCAAAGGCUGACCUGGAAAGUAGGCUCAGAGACAGGGGAAUAAAAGACCAGGCCCCAUGAACACAGCAUAUUGUUUCAUUUUAAAGUAUGAUUCCCAUACCAGAGAAAGUAGCAAAUGUGAUGUAAAUUUAUUUAAAUAGAUUCGACCGCUUAAAAGUUUGCCAGCCGCUCUUAUCCAACUUUCCCAGCUCUCUGAUUCGUUACUUACAGUGGGAAUAUAAUGACAUAUAGUCAUCAUUGUAACAGCUUCUUUGCAGGGGCACAAUGAUGAUUAAUAGCCAGCAGCAAAUUUUCACAUGGGCUCUGAAGCACUAUGGCAUUAAGCAGCCAAACAGUCCCAAAUCCCCCUUUUCUGUUCCGCUGAAAAGUCCCCUCCUUGUACCUUCCAGAUAGGAACAAAGCCUAUCUUAAUUCCAAUCAGCUUUUCGUCAUUCAAAGGGACCUUCUCUUUUUCAUAAUUGAUUCAUGUGCAUUUUUUAGUGUUCCACUGAGCUGAAGCCACUUUUCUCCUUUCCUCUGUUCUGUCCCCACACCCACACCCCCUUUUUUUGAGGGGGUGAGGAGUGGGAAACAUUUCAACAACAACAACAACAGUAAAAAAUGGUGUGGUAGUUUCCCCCGCAAAUAUUUGCUAAAUAGAUUUCUCAAUUAGUAUUAGCUUUACACUUAAAAGUCUUAAAACAAAAAUUAACUCCUGGACUUCUUUUUUGUUGGAAGUGGUUUUGGUUAUAAAAAUAUGAGCUUACUGAAAUAGCUCUGGUGGCAGCCCCACAAUCAUGUUCUGUUUCACUGGGAGAGUUUGAGUAGCUUUCCUUCCCACCAGAGACUCACAGCUGGAGUGAGGAUGGAGUCUCUUGCUUCAGACAGAUUCUUUUUCCUCCUCUGUGCUGGUAGCCAUCAAAAAAAGAACAAGUGACCAAAAUGAAAGGCGGCAAAUGCACACCUCCUAACCCACUCUGUCCUUCUUAAGUAUCAUUUUUCCCCAUAGUAAUCGUACAUUAUAAUUAUUAGCAGAAGCUCCUGUGCUAUUUGUGGAAGUGCUCUCUCUCGUCUAUAGUUUUCACCUCCUGUGAUAACGACACAAACGACAUCAACCAGUGCUGUCUUGGAAAAAGAUUUCCAUCCGCAAAUUCAUUUGUGUUUCUAUGACAAUAUGAUGGCCAUAGAGCACAGUUUUAGUAGAUAUACUUUGCAUAUUUGUUUACAUUCCUUACAAAUCUGACCUCAUUUUUCUAUAUGAGUAGGGUGACCACACACCCCUGUUUUCUCAGGACUAGCUGUAUUUAUGCCUAUUGUCCUUACAUAAUUAUUAACAGUACUUCCUUUCACCCUCAAAAGUAUCCUGAUUUGAACAAUUUGAAAAACUCAUGACGUUUUGCCAUUAAAAUGGCCCCAAAUGACUUACACAAACCCAAAGGGUGGGCUGUCUCCUACCCAGGUGGCUGGGGACUGCUUUAUACCAUCCCAGUUUAGGGGAAAGAAUCAAACUUGGAAACCCUGCUGCCGAUGUAGCAGCACCGACUUUUGUCUCGCCCACUUUGAAGAGGUCAGUUGACCCUAUACAGCUUCUUUGAUAUGUGACAGAAAGGAGGUCAUUUGCUGAAAUGAAAGACACAUUACAAACCAGAUUUUAAGUGUGACUCUUUCCUUCAGCUGGGUCACAGUUCUUACUUUGAGCCAGAGCAACACACUUUACUGGUCAGAUAAAAAUACUCUGCCAUAUUUUAGAAUAAUGACCUUUCUUAUGCUUUGGUGUCUCCAAAUGGUUAAAUGGAGAAUAUAUCCAAUUGACAGGAGGAAUUCUGUUCAUCAUUUUUACUCUUGUGUUUAUAUCUUCUCAUAAAAAAAAAACAUGUGAAAAUGGCAUCAUGUAUCUCUAUUGUAUUUUUCAUUCAAAAAUCUCAAACAGGUGAGUGUAAUCCAGUCUUUAGGUUAUAGGACCAAAGACUCUCAAAGACUGUUACAAACCCCCGGACAGUGUCCCUAAGGGCUGGACUUUGCAUGUGGAUUACCGAGUUAACUGAGAGAUGUGUAAUAUCAUCUGUAGUCAGAAAACUCCCUACUCCCUAUAUGGAGCAACCAAGGACAUUCACAUGUGUUGCUUACUCUUGAAAGUAUAUGGGAUAAAUGGGCUCCUGAUAUGCUAGUUUCAGAAUAACUAUGGCAGGACCUUAAAAUUUCCCACUUUCCAUAAGAUCAUAGCUCAUAUUCAAUUACUGGCAGGAUAAACAUGUAAGAUUAUUAACUCUGCCUUACUAGUUCUUUUAGAGGAGCAUAGCCCCUUGAUGAAGGCAUUGUUCUAAGCCAAAUCUGGACCUAUCCAAUCUUUAUUCAUGCAUUUUAUCCGCUUUCUUAGAUCAUUCUUUCAGAAAUGAAAUGAGUGAGGUACAUGAAAUAUAUUUUCUGAUGCACUCUUUUUAAAAUAAAAUACUUUUUAUGGUUGUGCAUUUAUUUGUGAAGUGAAUGUUUAGAAAACUUUAAAACCAAUUCUACCAUUCUGUCCUUCUUUCAUGGUGAUAACCAACUGUUCUGUUUAAUAGGAUGAUGGAAUUGGUUACCACUAAAGUCCAGCCCUUAGAAAUUACUCUGUAUUUUUAGGCCCUAGACGUUUAUAAGUCUAUGAGAAUCUAACAAGGAGAAUUGGUUUCUCCUAACAAUUCUAUUAUCUUGUAGGUGGCUGUGUCCAUUCUUAAAACUUUUGGCUCAUCUUACCAGAUUUUUUACAAAGAUGCAGAUGUUCCUUAAAAGUGGCUGAAAGAUUAGGAGUUCCUUAAAAGUGGCUGAAAGAUUAGGGACUUUGUGCCUGAUGUGCUGGAAUAUGCCCGAGUUCUGUUAAAUCUGAUUUAACCAUAUUAAAUCAAAUCUUUUCUGAUGUAUUCUUAUGCCCUCAUUUUCAUGUAAUGUUACUACUAUGAAGAAGUGUAAUUAAGACUUUGAUAUGAGCCUUCACAGUCUAAAGAGUGCUUCAGUGACAACAGUUUUAUUAGAUUAUGGUGAUGGGCCUGGCUGUGAAAUUCCCACAUUCAUGAACGACUCUGCUUUUUACUGGCUAAAAACAGGAUUUUAAAAUGCAAUGACCUUUGGGACUCUCAGAUAAGUUGCCUCUUCAACCCUGAGGUUAUUUGAUGAAUUGCUGGGGACAUACAGAAGGAUGGAUUAAUGAAUGCUGUGCUCAUCUUGUCUACUGGCACCAUCUGAGGGACUGAAGAUCAGGGUGCCUCUUUAGACUUUGGCUUGAGAUUACAAUGUUACCCCCCUCUUUGCUCUAGUAACUCCAUCCUCUCCACUCCAUCACUCUCUAUUAUCUCUAGGAUGCCGUAAAGCACUUACAGUUAUUUUUCCUCACAGUGGAAAAUCUCUUUAUACAAACUAUAUAAACUGAGACCCACUGUCCUUAUACAAUCAGGGCCAACCUCUUUCCCACCAAAGACUAAUUCUGCCCGGAUGCCCAGGAUAGUUAUUUUACGUACAUACACUAUCCAUACCCUAAUCCCAAGCCAGGUAAAUAUAUAUGUAAUAUCCGAGGUGGAUGUUUUUAUUACAUGGUGCCUACAUUUAGAAGUAUAAAAUCUCUUAAUUGGUUCCCAUCCUGAUUUUUUUAUAAACUCAAGCUUUUCGGGUCUUUACUUUGAUUUUCCAUAUUUUUCUUUUCUCUUUGUACUUGCUAACAGAACUCUGGUUUCUUUUCAGAUACCAUGCAAAAAAUAGGCUCAGAUAAGGCACACGUAUGCCCAUGAGUCAUAAUUCAUCUAUCCCUUUCAUCAUAAUUCCAUUCUCCUUUGCCAGGGAUUGGUUUAGGGACGGGCAUGUGACUCAUUCACCAAAUGAACAUAAAAAGAAAUCUGUUGGGAUUGAUUUUCCUUUUGUAAAAAAUAAAAGAGACAAACUCAUGAGGAAAAUCUCAUGUUCCUCCAUGUUUUUAAAUCUUAUUUCAUGAGGAUGGGGGCUUGGAGUUGUGGCAACAAUAACAGAGAAGCCAAGAGAAUCCUAAAAAAGCUGACCCAGAGAUGUGACAUUUGUGAGAUGUUAAUUAACCACCUUGGAAACUGUCACUUCUAGACUUCUUGUCAUCUGAAAUAAUAAACCCCUAUUACUCAAGUCAUACCUUGUUGGGAAUUCUGUUACUUGCAACCCAAAGCACAGUAACUGAAUCCCUCACCUUCUCUUUUACCAGUUAUUUCUUAGUUCACGUAUCUUUUCUAGCUUCUCUCAGUCAACUUGAUAGGAUAAUAGAACUCAGACUAUUGCAGUUGGCGGCAUGUAGAGAUCACCUCAUUAAAUCAAAUUUGACAUACUUAAUUUACUGUAGAGGAAAUAAACCUGGGAAGCAACAAAAAUUAAUCUAAGGUCAUACAGGUAGUCUAGUCGCAACAGAAUUAGAGUAAAAUUCUGGUUUUCUGAAUUGCAGUCAAGUCUCUCUACAACAAUUUGGUCCAAUUUCCCCUAUUGCUCUGCACUCUCUCAAUCCAGCCACAGUUCAUUAAAGAUUGGCAUGCUGUACAUCUUAUAUAUGAAGUACAUAAUAUAGGCUGAGCUCAGUGGCUCACGCCUGUAAUCCCAGCACUUUGGGAGGCUGAGGUGGGUGGAUCACUUGAAGUCAGGAGUUUGAGACCAGCCUGACCAACAUGGUGAAACCUCAUCUCUACUAAAAAUAUAAAAAUUAGCUGGGCCUGGUGGCACAUGCCCUUAGUCCCAGCUACUCAGGAGGCUGAGACAGGGUAAUUGCUUGAACCCGGGAGGCAGAGCUGCAGUGAGCCGAGAUCGUGCCACUGCACUUCAGCCUGGGUGAACAGAGCGAGACUCCAUUUCAAAAAAGUAAAAGAAAAAAUUAAUAAAAAUAAAGUACAUAAGAUAAAUCACAUCUAUAAAAAAUAGUUAAAGCAUACAUCCAUACAUACACCCAAUUUGUCAAAGGAAUUUAGUUAUCAAAGGACAUUUUCAUGGACUCCUAGGAAGAUCACUAUGUCACAGUUUCCCUGGAACUAAGAUGUCUUUAUUUAAAUAUUAUUUGGUAAUCUCCACAUCAUUUUGUGUGUUUUGCAUAUUGAAUUUGUAAGGUCCUAAUUUCAGAUAUAUAAAAUAUAUACAAUGCACUGAGAUUAUAUUCAAAUCUGAUAUCUGGGAAAAAUGCACAAGAGAUGAGUUGUUCAAAUCUGUCCACAUCAUCCAUUCUAAAAUUUGGAGAUAUGAUGCUGAAUCCUAGGUCAGUUAACUAUACAUAGGUGUUGUGCAUACUUUCACAUUGUGGUGAGCAAUGAGGGAGAAGGGAUAGAUAAGAGAGCAAGAGAUGGGCUGCUCUUUAGCCCUUGCAUUUUGGGACCAGGCAGGUUCUGGGUCGUUUCUCAUUGCUCUUUGCUCACAGUCCCAGCAUAACACUGAUUUUUUUUUAAAAUGUGAGGUAUUAAUAUUUUGGGUAGCGAUUCCUCUUGAUGGCUAUUACAGUAAAUUCCAGCAGCCAGUAUAAUCAGCGCAAAGUGAGAUGGGCUGUUUAAUCAAUUAAAUUAAACAUAGUUUAAUGCGCAGAAGAGUUCAUUUUUUAAAUUUUUUUUUAAAAUUGUGGUAAGAUAUCCAUAACAUAUUGCUUACUAUUUUCAUUAUUUUUAAGUGUACAGUUCAGGGGCAUUAAGUACAUUCACAUUGUGCAACCAUCACCACCAUCCAUCCACAGAACUUUUUUCAUCUUGCAGAACUGAAACUCUGUACCCAUUAAACAAUAACUCUCCAUUAACCCCUCCCACCAGCCCCUGGUACCUACCAUUCUACUAUCUGUUUCUGUUAUACACUAUUUGUCCUUCUGUGACUGGCUUAUUUCACUUAGCAUAAAGUCUUCAAGCAUAUAUCAGAAUUUUCUUCCUUUUUAAUGCUGAAUAAUAUUUCAUUGUAUGUAUACACCCCAUUUUGUUUAUCUGUUCCUCCAUCAAUGGACACUUGAGUUGCUUCCACCUUUUGGUGAUUGAGAAUAAUGCUGCUGGGAGCAUGAGUGAUGUGGUCUGGUUCUGUGCCCCCACCCAAAUCUCAUCUUGCAUUGUAAUCUGAGUAUGUUGGGGGAGGUACCUCAUGGGAGGUGAUUAGAUCAUGGGGACAGUCCCCAUGCUGUUCUCAUGAUAGGGAGUGAGUUCUCAUGAGAUCUAAUGGUUUUACAAGGGUCUUUUCUGCCUUUGCUUGGCACUUCUCCAUCCUGCUGCCAUGUGAAGAAGGACAUGUUUGCUUCCCCUUCUACUAUGAUUGUAAGUUUCCUGAGGCCUCCCCAACCGUGCUGAACUGUGAGUC